ACUAUGAAUGAGCCAUCUUCUCUGUCUCAUUACCACAGCCUAACGUAAGAUAAGUCUUAUCUAGUAAUACGAGACCCAAUAAUCAUUCGGUACUGUUAAAACCCGAAACAAAAAAAAUAUCCAUUGUCAUUGUGCAAUUAUGCUAUGCGAUUUAUUACUACUGGAAUGAGUUCGGAACUUUUCGUUUUGCAGUUGUCGCACACAUCAACUUACAUCCAUGAGCCGCACUCCACUUACGUAUGAUUCCAACAUCCCUUUCAGGUGAAUUGCACUUGAAUCUGCCCCACUGUUUCAUCACAGUGAUUAUCAUGUGCGAAACACCUUCAUUUACGUAUGAUUCCAACAUCCCUUUCAAGUGAAUUGCACAUGAAUCUGCCCCACUGUUUCAUUACAGUGAUUAUCAUGUGCGAAACACUUUCAGUUGAUUUGUUUUGUUUUUAUAUGUCAAAUGAUGUGCCGUUUGGGCUGAAAAGUAGAAAAAUGGCGACAGAUGACAAGUAAACGAGUGUCAUACGGCUCAGAAGUUUGAGGAUUUUCCAGACUACAUCUGCAAAUUUUUGGAAGCACAAGAUCACAGAGAUUCUGAUGAAAACAUCUUUACGCUAGAG